UUUUUUGAGGGUUUGAUCCUGGCCCAGGAUGAACGCUGGCGGUGUGCCUUAGGCAUGCAAGUGGGACGAGCUGUAGCAAUACAGUUAGUCGCGAACGGCUGAGUAUAAAAUAGGAAUCUACCCAAUGGUUCGGAAUACCUCGUCGAAAGACGAGCUAAUACCGGAUGACAUCUUCGGAUAAAAGCGCAUAACUGCGCGCCGAUGGAGGAGCCUAUUUCCCAUCAGGCAGUUGGUAGGGUAAUGGCCUACCAAACCUACGACGGGUAGGGGGUGUGAGAGCAUGACCCCCCAGAAUGGGACUGAGACACGGCCCAUACACCUACGGGUGGCAGCAACUAGGAAUCGUACGCAAUGGACGAAAGUCUGACGUCGCGACACCGCGUGAGGGAUGAAGGUCUUCGGAUCGUAAACCUCUUUUGAUUAAUUAGAGAUAAUUAGUAGAAUAAGUGCCCGCUAACCACGUGCCAGCAGCUGCGGUAAUACGUGGGGCACAAGCGUUAUCCGGAUUUACUGGGCGUAAAGCGUUUCGUAGGCGACUUGUUAAGUUAUUCUUUAAAGACCGGGGCUCAACCUCGGGAAGGGGGAUAAUACUAACUGGUUUGAAAUAUUUCGGGGUUACUGGAACUAUUGGUGUAGGGGUGAAAUCCGUUGAUACCAAUAGGAACUCCAAGGGCGAAGGCAGGUAACUAGGAAUUUUUUGACGCUGAGGAACGACAGCUAGGGGAGCAAAAGGGAUUAGAGACCCCUGUAGUCCUAGCCGUAAACUAUGCUCGCUAGGGAUUGGAUCGUAAGAUUCAGUUCCGUAAGCUAACGCGUUAAGCGAGCCGCCUGGGGAGUACGACCGCAAGGUUAAAACUCAAAGGAAUUGACGGGGACCUGCACAACCAGUGGAGCAUGUGGUUCAAUUCGAGACGAACCGUAGGACCUUACCAAGGUUUGACAUUGCCCUCUUUAGGUCUGUAGAAAUAUGGACUGAUUUUUAAGUAAUUAAAAAAGGGGCAACAGGUGUUGCAUGGCUGUCGUCAGCUCGUGCCGUGGGGUGUUCCCUUAAGUGGGGUAACGAGCGCAACCCCUUUCCCAUGUUAUAUAUCCAUGGGAUACUAUCUCGCCUAGUGCGGGAAGGAAGUGGGGAUGAUGUCAAGUCAGCAUGGCCCUUAUACCUUGGGCGACACACAUGCUACAAUGGAGCCGACAAUGGGUUGCCAAAGAGUAAUCUGGAGCUAAUCCCAAAAACGGCUUCUCAGUGGGGAUUGAGGGCUGCAACUCGCCCUCAUGAACGCGGAAUUGGUAGUAAUCGGAGGUCAGCUAUACUCCGGUGAAUACGUUCUCAGGUCUUGUACACACCGCCUAUAGUAAUAUAGAUUUAGGUAACAACGCGCCAGGCAGUUAUGUCCUCU
rnacentral:rRNA from 1 species